rnacentral:rRNA from 1 species
UACGUAGGGUGCAAGCGUCAUUCGGAAUUACUGGGCGUAAAGCGUGCGCAGGCGGUUUUGUAAGUCUGACGUGAAAUCCCCGGGCUCAACCUGGGAAUUGCGUUGGAGACUGCAAGGCUAGAAUCUGGCAGAGGGGGGUAGAAUUCCACGUGUAGCAGUGAAAUGCGUAGAGAUGUGGAGGAACACCGAUGGCGAAGGCAGCCCCCUGGGUCAAGAUUGACGCUCAUGCACGAAAGCGUGGGGAGCAAACAGG